AGCAUAGUAAACAAGAAUAAAACAUACGUGUAUCUUUAAAAGGUUAUAAAAAGACUUCCGCAUUUGAAUGUAUUAAAGAAAAUCAUCAAAACAUAUGCAGAUUGAAAGAACGCAGAUGUACAUUUUGAAUUAACUCAUCACUUUGAUAUAAAUAUAAUAUCGUCAACGUUUGGACUAAACACUAUGGCUAAGCUUAAUACCGGCAAUGAGAUUUUAGUAGACGUAGGUGAACUACAAAGGCAGGAUUGGAUCACUUCCGGUAGCAAUGGAUGCUUUGCAGAAGAAUUACAAACAUGCAGGAUGGACCAAAAGAAACAAGCAUACACUGAUUAUAUAUAUCUGGCAAUUGUUGCAGUUUUCUGUUGUUUUCCGUUUGGACUGUGUGCUACAUUCGCUGCAAACAGUGCAAACAAUGACAGGAAAAGCGGAAAUUAUGAAGACGCUAGAGAAAAGAAUCAUACGGCUAUUCGUUUGAUUAUUGCAUCUUAUAUUUUUGGAGUUAUUGGUGCCUUUAUAAUGCUAGCGAUGCAUCUUACAUAAUUUGGACCAUCUGGUGGAGAUAACAGCAACUUAUAUAAUAUUAGUAUUUUGUUUUUGUUUUGAACACUUUAGUUUAUGCAUUUUGUUUUAUAAUCAUGUUUAAUAAUACUAUAUCUCCUAAUAAGCAACACGAUGAAGAUCUCAAUAUGAUUACGUUUUUAAAAGUUAAAAUAACGCUCUUUAGUAAUACUUAUUUUAUAAGCAUCGUACCGUAGAUGAAGUUUUCAUUACUUAUUAUCUAUAAUGGAGCGUCAAAAUUAAAUUAAUUUUUUAAAUAAAUGCUUUUUCAGUUAUA